AGUGAACGCUGGCGGUAGGCCUAACACAUGCAAGUCGAACGGCAGCACAGUAAGAGCUUGCUCUUACGGGUGGCGAGUGGCGGACGGGUGAGGAAUACAUCGGAAUCUACUUUUUCGUGGGGGAUAACGUAGGGAAACUUACGCUAAUACCGCAUACGACCUACGGGUGAAAGCAGGGGAUCUUCGGACCUUGCGCGAUUGAAUGAGCCGAUGUCGGAUUAGCUAGUUGGCGGGGUAAAGGCCCACCAAGGCGACGAUCCGUAGCUGGUCUGAGAGGAUGAUCAGCCACACGGGAACUGAGACACGGUCCAGACUCCUACGGGAGGCAGCAGUGGGGAAUAUUGGACAAUGGGGGCAAGCCUGAUCCAGCCAUACCGCGUGGGUGAAGAAGGCCCUCGGGUUGUAAAGCCCUUUUGUUGGGAAAGAAAAGCAGCAGGUUAAUACCCCGCUGUUCUGACGGUACCCAAAGAAUAAGCACCGGCUAACUUCGUG
rnacentral:rRNA from 1 species